UUGGCCUACGGGACGCAGCAGUAGGGAAGUUUCGUCAAUGGGCGCAAGCCUGAACGAGCAAUGCCGCGUGAACGAGGAAGGUCUUCGGAUCGUAAAGUUCUGUUGAAGGGGAAAAAGAGCGGAGAGAGGAAAUGGUCUCCGAUUGAUAUUACCCUUCGAGGAAGUCACGGCUAACUACGUGCCAGCAGCCGCGGUAAUACGUAGGUGGCGAGCGUUAUCCGGAAUGAUUGGGCGUAAAGGGAGCGUAGACGGCUGUGCAAGUCUGAAGUGAAAUGCCGGGGCCCAACCCCGGAACUGCUU
rnacentral:rRNA from 1 species